CCUGGAGACAGACGGCUACCCCGCCGAAAGGCGGGGAGGAAAGUCCAGACAGCAGAAGGCAAGGUGUCCGGUGCAAGCCGGAGCGGGAAACCGCCAGUCUAGAGCAACAGUGACGAACCGAGAUAAUGCUCGGGUGAAACGGGCAAUCCUCCCUGCUGCAACCUCCGAUCUGGGUGGGUCGCCUUCCCCAUAACCCUAAAGCUUGAGGGCAUUAGACAGAUGGCCGAUAAAACAGAAUCUGGCUUACUCGUCUCCAGG
rnacentral:RNase_P_RNA from 2 species